AUAGUCAAAGCUUUUAAGUGUUAAAAGUUAAAUUUUGGGUGUAUUUUUGAACUUAUAUUUAAAUAUUUUGGUACUGUUUGCAUGGUAACUAAAAUUUUCCUUCAGAAACCUCUGGUUCUUAGCCAUGUUCCAGUUUGUUCAUAACGUUCAGUAAUUUUCCACAUUUGGUAUAUAUAUAUGUUUGUUUGGUAUCUACUGCCCUAGUGCUGAUGGUCAUAAUUGUGAUACUUCAGGU
rnacentral:lncRNA from 1 species